GUUUGAUCCUGGCUCAGAUUGAACGCUGGCGGCAGGCCUAACACAUGCAAGUCGAGCGGUAGCACAGGGAGCUUGCUCCUGGGUGACGAGCGGCGGACGGGUGAGUAAUGUCUGGGAAACUGCCUGAUGGAGGGGGAUAACUACUGGAAACGGUAGCUAAUACCGCAUAACGUCGCAAGACCAAAGAGGGGGACCUUCGGGCCUCUUGCCAUCAGAUGUGCCCAGAUGGGAUUAGCUAGUAGGUGGGGUAAUGGCUCACCUAGGCGACGAUCCCUAGCUGGUCUGAGAGGAUGACCAGCCACACUGGAACUGAGACACGGUCCAGACUCCUACGGGAGGCAGCAGUGGGGAAUAUUGCACAAUGGGCGCAAGCCUGAUGCAGCCAUGCCGCGUGUAUGAAGAAGGCCUUCGGGUUGUAAAGUACUUUCAGCGAGGAGGAAGGCAUUGUGGUUAAUAACCACAGUGAUUGACGUUACUCGCAGAAGAAGCACCGGCUAACUCCGUGCCAGCAGCCGCGGUAAUACGGAGGGUGCAAGCGUUAAUCGGAAUUACUGGGCGUAAAGCGCACGCAGGCGGUCUGUCAAGUCGGAUGUGAAAUCCCCGGGCUCAACCUG
rnacentral:rRNA from 1 species